GGGCAGAGAGGGUGAAGGGGUAGAAGGUUCCAUUCUCGCCUUCAAGCUAUAACUUCCCCAUGGAAUAAGAAUCAUGCCUUAUUCGGCACUGUUUUCCCAGCAUCCUGUGCUGUUCCUAAAAUGUGUUAGAGCUCCAUGCCAUGGAAAACUAAACAGAUCACCUAGAACAGAGGACACCGCUCCCUAAGAUGCCCAGUGCAGGCCCGGCUGCCUUUGGCAUCACCGUGGACCGGCUUCUCUCUGUGCAGAAAGGCUGGUGUGAGUAUGCAGGAGCCAGGACACAUUUGUCAGGACCACUUUCGGUGCUUCGACUCUUCCAUAGUUCUAGGAAGCUGCUGUCUCCCUCCAUGUCGGAGGAGGCCCUCCCAGGUGUACCCACCACAUCUGUGUAUGCCCCCUGCUCCAAGGCCCUUGGCAGAGAGAAUUGAACUCGGCUGGUUCCUGCCAUGACUGCUGUGUGUCUCUGUCCACAGGCAGAGCCAAUCCAGUGCACUGGGUCUGCAUACGGUAGGUACUUAAUUAAUAUUAUCCAAUGAGUUAAAGAAUAUCAUUACCUUCUUUCUCCUCAUAUCAUAUUCUCUUACAUUUUGUGUCCCAACCUUAAUGUUAAUCUUCUUUAUCCCUCCCCUACACCCAGCCCAGGUGAGAGAAAAAGAAGGAAGAAAGCAGAAAAGGAAGAAAUAGAUGCCUGAGAGGAGAGAAAUACUUUGGACAAAAGGGAUGAGGAAUACAGAAAAGUGAGAAAGAAGAAGGGAUCUCAGUACAGUCAAGGACAAGGACUCUAAUAUGUUAAGAUGCUG
rnacentral:lncRNA from 1 species